AGUGAACGCUGGCGGUGGGCCUAACACAUGCAAGUCGAACGGCAGCACAGUAAGAGCUUGCUCUUACGGGUGGCGAGUGGCGGACGGGUGAGGAAUACAUCGGAAUCUACUUUUUCGUGGGGGAUAACGUAGGGAAACUUACGCUAAUACCGCAUACGACCUACGGGUGAAAGCAGGGGAUCUUCAGACCUUGCGCGAUUGAAUGAGCCGAUGUCGGAUUAGCUAGUUGGCGGGGUAAAGGCCCACCAAGGCGACGAUCCGUAGCUGGUCUGAGAGGAUGAUCAGCCACACUGGAACUGAGACACGGUCCAGACUCCUACGGGAGGCAGCAGUGGGGAAUAUUGGACAAUGGGCGCAAGCCUGAUCCAGCCAUACCGCGUGGGUGAAGAAGGCCUUCGGGUUGUAAAGCCCUUUUGUUGGGAAAGAAAAGCAGCAGGUUAAUACCCCGCUGUUCUGACGGUACCCAAAGAAUAAGCACCGGCUAACUUCGUG
rnacentral:rRNA from 1 species